rnacentral:rRNA from 1 species
CUACAGGCUUAACACAUGCAAGUCGAGGGGCAGCAUGGUCUUAGCUUGCUAAGGCCGAUGGCGACCGGCGCACGGGUGAGUAACGCGUAUCCAACCUGCCUUACACUCUUGGACAGCCUUCUGAAAGGGAGAUUAAUACAAGAUGUUAUCAUGAGUAAGCAUUUUCGCAUGAUUAAAGGUUUACCGGUGUAAGAUGGGGAUGCGUUCCAUUAGAUAGUAGGCGGGGUAACGGCCCACCUAGUCUUCGAUGGAUAGGGGUUCUGAGAGGAAGGUCCCCCACAUUGGAACUGAGACACGGUCCAAACUCCUACGGGAGGCAGCAGUGAGGAAUAUUGGUCAAUGGACGAGAGUCUGAACCAGCCAAGUAGCGUGAAGGAUGAAGGUUCUAUGGAUUGUAAACUUCUUUUAUACGGGAAUAAACGAAUCCACGUGUGGAUUUUUGCAUGUACCGUAUGAAUAAGGAUCGGCUAACUCCGUGCCAGCAGCCGCGGUAAUACGGAGGAUCCGAGCGUUAUCCGGAUUUAUUGGGUUUAAAGGGAGCGUAGAUGGGUUGUUAAGUCAGUUGUGAAAGUUUGCGGCUCAACCGUAAAAUUGCAAUUGAUACUGGCAGUCUUGAGUACAGUUGAGGUAGGCGGAAUUCGUGGUGUAGCGGUGAAAUGCUUAGAUAUCACGAAGAACUCCGAUUGCGAAGGCAGCUUACUAACCUGUAACUGACAUUGAUGCUCGAAAGUGUGGGUAUCAAACAGGAUUAGAUACCCUGGUAGUCCACACGGUAAACGAUGAAUACUCGCUGUAGGCGAUAUACAGUCUGCGGCCAAGCGAAAGCAUUAAGUAUUCCACCUGGGGAGUACGCCGGCAACGGUGAAACUCAAAGGAAUUGACGGGGGCCCGCACAAGCGGAGGAACAUGUGGUUUAAUUCGAUGAUACGCGAGGAACCUUACCCGGGCUUAAAUUGCAACCGAAUAUGGCGGAAACGCUAUAGCUAGCAAUAGCGGUUGUGAAGGUGCUGCAUGGUUGUCGUCAGCUCGUGCCGUGAGGUGUCGGCUUAAGUGCCAUAACGAGCGCAACCCUUGCCGAUAGUUACUAACAGGUCAUGCUGAGGACUCUGUCGGGACUGCCAUCGUAAGAUGUGAGGAAGGUGGGGAUGACGUCAAAUCAGCACGGCCCUUACGUCCGGGGCUACACACGUGUUACAAUGGGGGGUACAGAGGGCUGCUACCACGCAAGUGGAUGCCAAUCCCAAAAACCUCUCUCAGUUCGGAUUGAAGUCUGCAACCCGACUUCAUGAAGCUGGAUUCGCUAGUAAUCGCGCAUCAGCCACGGCGCGGUGAAUACGUUCCCGGGCCUUGUACACACCGCCCGUCAAGCCAUGGGAGCCGGGGGUACCUGAAGUGCGUAACCGCAAGGAGCGCCCUAGGGUAAAACUGGUGA